GCCGCUUGUCGCGUUCCAAUAAUUUCCAAAUCCUUGCUACUACAGAUGGUUAUCAACAUGGACAUGGUUAAAAAUGUCUGCAUAUACAAUGGGAUAUUUUCCUGUACAAACUUCUUAGAUGAUAACCAAUAUAGAAAAUGCACAUUCAAUAACUUGAAUAAUAGUUAGUUGACAAUUGCUUUCUAAAUAUUUCCAGGGUAACUGCUGCCUCUAUCUCAGCUUUUUGAUAAGCUAUAACAUUCUUUCAGAAACCAGAAUCCAGUUAAACUGUGGCUGCUGAGAGAAUCACCCUAGAAGUUUUACUUUUCAGUCUUUCUUCUGACGUCUGACAAUGAAGCCAUCUUCAUAGACCUUGAAACACAAGACCAACUUAACAAUUGGCAGAUGCUGCUGCUGCUGCUCGCUAGCUGAUGCCAAUGUUUUAUUGUGAAAUUACUUCCAUUUUGCACACAAACAAACUAAGGAACAUUGUUUAUAUGCUGCUGAGCCUGCUCACUUGAAAGCUCAGCUUCUGCAGCAAAAGACACGUUUGGAGACUCCUCUUGAUGGCGGCGAUGUUGGAGUGCGGUUACUGCUUUCACGAUAACAUAUACUGGAAGAACAAUCCCAGCAAUUCGUAGAAAUAACAACAUGAGCAAUGGGAAGGAAAUUUCAUUGGUCCUAGUAAGGAUGACUGGGAGAGUAUGCCGCAGAAUCAAAAGAAUCAUAAA
rnacentral:misc_RNA from 1 species